GUGCUUGCUUCAGCAGCACAUAGACCAUUGGAACAAUACAGAGGAGAUUAGCAUGGCCCCCGUGCAAAGAUGACACGCAAAUUCGUGAAGCAUUUUGUAUUUAA